ACGAAGAGGUCACCAAGCACGAGCCCGAGAAGGCGCUGCUGCGCACGCUCAAGCGCACCGGCGGGCGCAACGCGUACGGCACCACGACCUGUCGCGGCAUGGGCGGCGGCCACAAGCGCCGCUAUCGCGUCAUCGACUUCCGUCGCAACAAGGACGACGUGGCCGCCAAGGUCGUCGGCAUCGAGUACGACCCCAACCGCUCGUGCCACAUCGCGCUGCUUGAGUAUGCCGACGGCGAGCGCCGGUACAUCCUGGCCCCCAAAGAUCUCAAGGCCGGCUCGUCGAUCGUCUCAUCGAACAACCCCGUCGAUCCCGAGAUCGGCAACUGUCUGCCGCUGCGGCACAUUCCCACCGGCCUGACGGUGCACAACAUUCAGUUCGAGCCCGGCAAGAAGAACGCGAUGUGCCGGUCGGCCGGUUCAGGCGCGCGGCUGUCGAACAAAGAAGGCCAAUUCGCCACGCUCGUGCUGCCCUCGGGCGAAAUCCGACAGGUGUCGCUGGAUUGUCGCGCGACCAUCGGCCAGGUCGGCAACCUCGAUCACCAGAACGUCUCGCUCGGCAAGGCCGGCCGCAACCGCUGGCUGGGACGCAAGGGCAAGACCCGCGGCAUGGCAAUGAGCCACCACACGCAUCCGAUGGGCGGCGGCGAAGGCCGCUCGAAGGGCGGCCGCGAACCGGCCAGCGCAUCGGGCACCAAGGCCAAGGGCGGACACACGCGCAAGCCGCGCAAGUGGUCGAACUCUCGAAUCCUGCGACGCCGUCGCAGCAAGCGUUAUGGACAGUUGAAACUCUAAGGAUUCUCCCGCCGCGACACGUCGGCUAAGCCGCAAGCGGCUGACUUCUGACUUCUGAUCUCUGCCUAUGUCUCGUUCCACGAAAAAAGGCCCGUACGUUGUUGAGAGCGUCUACCGCAAGGUGGAGCGUCUCAACACCGCCAACCGUAAACAGCCCAUCAAGACUUGGGCUCGUGCCUGCACGAUCGUGCCCGAGUUUGUCGGGCACACGUUCCAGGUUCACAACGGCCGCGCGUUCCUCGAUGUGUUCGUGACCGAGGACAUGGUCGGCCACAAACUUGGCGAGUUCAGCCACACGCGGCAGUUCCGAGGCCACACCAAUAAGAAGGAAGGCAUCGAAGGCGCCGAGGGCGCAGCAGCGCCGGGCGGCAAGGGCGGCGCGCCGGGUGGCGGGGCCAAGGGCGGCAAGGGCAAGGACUGAUCUGAUCUGACAUGACCUGAUGAAGGCUUGACCAUGGCAUACAAGGCAACACAUCGCUACGCACGCAUCGCUCCGCGGAAGGCGCAACUCGUCGCCGAACUCAUCCGCGGCCGCAAGGUUGACGACGCGCUGGCGCAACUCGACAUGUCGAAGAAGCGCGCCGCGUGGUUCUUCAAGACCGUGCUGAAGAGCGCGAUCGCCAACGCCGAGGAGGGCGACGCCGACGUGCGCAACCUCGUGGUGUCGGAAAGCCGCGUUGACGCCGGCCCCACCAUGAAGCGUUUUCAGCCCAAGGACCGCGGUCGGGCGCAUCCCAUCCUCAAGCGCACCAGUCACCUGAUCAUCGCGGUCGACGAGAAAAACUGAGUCACACCCGAAGUCUUAAGCACACC
rnacentral:misc_RNA from 1 species